rnacentral:misc_RNA from 1 species
CUUGUACACACCGCCCGUCACACCACGAGAGUUUGUAACACCCGAAGUCGGUGGAGUAACCGUAAGGAGCUAGCCGCCUAAGGUGGGACAGAUGAUUGGGGUGAAGUCGUAACAAGGUAGCCGUAUCGGAAGGUGCGGCUGGAUCACCUCCUUUCUAAGGAUUUUUAUAAGACGUACGUUUCAUUUCGUUCAGUUUUGAGAGAAUUCUCUCUAUCAUAUAUAUGGGCCUAUAGCUCAGCUGGUUAGAGCGCACGCCUGAUAAGCGUGAGGUCGGUGGUUCGAGUCCACUUAGGCCCACCAUAUAUAUUUAAACGAAUGGGGCCUUAGCUCAGCUGGGAGAGCGCCUGCCUUGCACGCAGGAGGUCAGCGGUUCGAUCCCGCUAGGCUCCACCAAUUGUUCUUUGAAAACUAGAUAACAGUAAUUGCUGAGGAAAAGUGAAACUUUUCUUUAAUCAAACCAAUAAAUAACACAACAUUAUGUUGUACCAUUUAUUCGCUAAUGGUUAAGUUAGAAAGGGCGCACGGUGAAUGCCUUGGCACUAGGAGCCGAUGAAGGACGGGACUAACACCGAUAUGCUUCGGGGAGCUGUAAGUGAGCUUUGAUCCGGAGAUUUCCGAAUGGGGAAACCCACUGUUCGUAAUGGAACAGUAUCUUUAUCUGAAUACAUAGGAUAUUGAAGGCAGACCCGGGGAACUGAAACAUCUAAGUACC